rnacentral:rRNA from 1 species
UCUGGCGCCUAUACCACGGGGGAAACACCCGGUUCCAUUCCGAACCCGGCAGUUAAGCCCCGUGGGCCGAUGAUACUGGGUUCCUGUGACCUGGGAAAGUAGGUAGUGCCAGGC